rnacentral:piRNA from 1 species
UCCUGCUCGAAGACGCUUUCUCCGACCAA